rnacentral:rRNA from 1 species
UACGUAGGGGGGCUAGCGUUUGUCCGGAUUCAUUGGGCGUAAAGAGCUCGUAGGCGGCUUGUCACGUCGAUUGUGAAAGCCCCGAGGCUUAACCUCGGGUCUGCAGUCGAUACGGGCUAGCUAGAGUGUGGUAGGGGGAGAUCGGAAUUCCUGGUGUAGCGGUGAAAUGCGCAGAUAUCAGGAGGAACACCGGUGGCGAAGGCGGAUCUCUGGGCCAUUGACUGACGUGAGGAGCGGAAGCGUGGGGAGCGAACAGG